rnacentral:rRNA from 2 species
GUCUGAUGUGAAAGCCUUCGGCUUAACCGAAGAAUUGCAUUGGAAACUGGAGGACUUGAGUGCAGAAGAGGAGAGUGGAACUCCAUGUGUAGCGGUGAAAUGCGUAGAUAUAUGGAAGAACACCAGUGGCGAAAGCGGCUCUCUGGUCUGUAACUGACGCUGAGGUUCGAAAGUGUGGGUAGCAAACAGGAUUAGAUACCCUGGUAGUCCACACCGUAAACGAUGAAUGCUAAGUGUUGGAGGGUUUCCGCCCUUCAGUGCUGCAGCUAACGCAAUAAGCAUUCCGCCUGGGGAGUACGACCGCAAGGUUGAAACUCAAAGGAAUUGACGGGGGCCCGCACAAGCGGUGGAGCAUGUGGUUUAAUUCGAAGCAACGCGAAGAACCUUACCAGGUCUUGACAUCUUUUGACCAUCUUAGAGAUAAGAUUUUCCCUUCGGGGACAAAAUGACAGGUGGUGCAUGGCUGUCGUCAGCUCGU